UCCCUGGUGGCUCAGAUGGUAAAGCGUCUGCCUACAAUGCAGGAGACCCAGGUUCAAUUCCUGGGUCGGGAA
rfam:Ovis aries breed Texel chromosome 11, whole genome shotgun sequence.